rnacentral:tRNA from 1 species
AGUUCCGCAGUAAAUGAUUACGUUGGAUUGCAAAUCCAAAACCGGAGGUUAUCUCCUCCCGGGGCUU